rnacentral:piRNA from 1 species
AAGAAGAGGAAAGACUGUGUCCCUUC